rnacentral:rRNA from 1 species
GAAGUAAAAGUCGUAACAAGGUUUCCGUAGGUGAACCUGCGGAAGGAUCAUUAAUGAAUUCUGAAAGGGGUUGUAGCUGGCCGUUUCGUUUGAGCGGCAUGUGCACGCCCUGAUCAUUAUCCAUCUCACACACCUGUGCACAUACUGUAGGUCGGCUUUUGAUUGGAGUGGGGUCUUCAUCGACUCUGCUUUUUAGUUGGGGCCUUCCUAUGUUUUAUCACACACUACUUCAGUUAAAAGAAUGUCCUCUUGCGUCUAACGCAUUUAAAUACAACUUUCAGCAACGGAUCUCUUGGCUCUCGCAUCGAUGAAGAACGCAGCGAAAUGCGAUAAGUAAUGUGAAUUGCAGAAUUCAGUGAAUCAUCGAAUCUUUGAACGCACCUUGCGCUCCUUGGUAUUCCGAGGAGCAUGCCUGUUUGAGUGUCAUGGAAUUCUCAACUCUAUUUGCUUUUGUGAAUAGAGCUUGGACUUGGAGGUUUAUUGCCGGUACCUGUGAUCGGCUCCUCUUGAAUGCAUUAGCUCGAACCUUUUGUGGAUCAGCUUAUCGGUGUGAUAAAAUGUCUACGCCGUUACUGUGAAGCAUAUUAUUCGGCUUCCAAUCGUCCUUCACGGGACAAUAACUUUGACC